rnacentral:lncRNA from 1 species
AUUAGGGCCCAUACGAAGGAAAAAUUCUAGAAUGCAACAGAUAUAUUGGUGGCCUGGCGUAACAAACUAAUCAAAUGUCUCCUUUUAGGAGUAUAUAUCCCAUCAUGAUUGUAAAAAAAUAUUUUUAUUGUAUUUUUAUUUGAAAAAAAAAAUGUGAUUGAUUUGUUAUUGAUGAGGUGGUGCAAAUGUGACGGUGUAGAAUUCCUCCAUACGAAGG